AUAGGAUAGAUAUAUACAUAUAAAGGGGAAUUUACUAAGUAUUAACUUACAGGAUCACAAGGUCCCACAGUAGGCUGUCUGCAGCUUGAGGAGCCAGGAGAGCCAGUCCAAGUCUCAAAACUGAAGAACCUGGAGUUCGACGUUCAAGGGCAGGAAGCAUCCACCAUGGGAGAAAGAUGUAGACUAGGAGGCUAGGCCAGUCUGUUGCUUCAUGUUUUUCUAUCUGCUUUAUAUUUGCCAAUGGCUGAUUAGAUGGUACCCACCUGAUUAAGGGUGGGUCUGCCUUCCCCGGCACACUGACUCAAACGUUAAUCUCCUUUGGCAACACCCUCACAGACAGACACACCAGGAUCAAUAUUGCUUCCUUUAGUCCAAUCAAGUUGACACUCAAUAUUAAUCAUCACACUUAGUAUAGGGGUGGAGGCAGAUAAAAAAUACUAUUUUUUCUUGCUACCUACAGAUGUCUAGACUUCAAAGGAGUUUACUUUGCAUGAUAGAUGUGUUCCUGAAAAGUUCAUUGUAAAUCACAAUUUCUCUUAGUCAUAUUUUAUUUUCUUACUGACGAUUUCAGGGCUUAUCCAGCCUCAUUCUGCCUACUGUUUCUUUACUGAUGGGGCUCCAUUUCUGUGUCCCCUGUCACGUUCUCAUCACUUUGGAAAUGGGAAAUGAUUGGCAGGCAACCCUAGGACACCACACUUAUAAAAUUGGCCACAGCUAUCAGCUGAAGGGAGCAAUGCCAAUAUGAGGUGGGCCCACGUUGAGUGAAAUGGAAAUCAAUGAAAGCAGCCCUGGGUUGACACUCACAUCCUCUGCUGGAGAAAUUAACAGCAGUGUUUAUCUCUGCUAAAUCUAGGCAUGGUGUAUCGUCAGGAGGCUUCCUGUCAGGUCCAAUUUGGGAUCAUGAAAUUAAUUGUUACAUGUGACAAGCUGAUAUGCAAAGAAAGCAAUAAAUACCUCAGUGCUGUCUCCUUGUUGGAAUUCUAUGCUGAGUUUCCCGGGCCAGGGGGCACAGAUGAUAAACAAGGCUGACGGCCUUCCUGCCUAGAGCAGCCUGCCCGUUCUCUACAUGGCAUCAGAAAACUCACUUCUGUUUUCCUUGAGACCUUAGUUAACUCACUUUCUUCCUUAAAAUUGUGUUAAUUCUUCUUCGCAUUUUUCUCUUCCAUCUGAGAGGUGCUAUAUACCUAGAAAUGACCCACCAGCUUCUUCAAAAGUACCUUUGUUGGGUCCUCAGGAACUGCCUGGUAACUGACCUACAAGGCACUGCCAGUUUGCCUGCAUUUCUCAGGGUCAGAAGAUAUUGCUGUGGGAGUCCACAGGCAGCUCAGGCUUCUACUCUGUGUCGCCAAGAUGGAGUGGUGCAAGCUAUGGCCAGGUGCUGUUUAGACCUGGCUGCCUGAGUGAGUGGCAGCUGGAGGUGGGUGGGCUAUCAGCCUGAUGGGCUGGGAAGUGGCUCCCAUUGCUGUCCUGGGCCCUCUAAUCUGGCCGCCAUUCCUAUUCACAAAUACUCCGUAGUGCAAAUUAUGGCAGCAUCCUUCCAAGGACCAAACCGAAGGGAUAUCAGGCUACUGUGUCUUUAACCUCUCCAGCAUUUUACAUUUGGGGCCUCCUCCUCUCCUCCAAAAAUAGGAACUCAGCAACUGUCCAUGUAACUCCCUGCACUUUGGGCACAAGCAAGUUAAAGUCACAUUUGAGGCACAACUCUGGGAGACACGGAGACCCUUAUGGCCUGCGUAUCUGUAUAUUCGUAUGUAUUAGUCCUAAUACUAUAGUAGGGCAAAUAUUGGAGAGAUACCUGAAACUGAGUAAUUUAUAAAAAAAAGAGGUAAUUGAAUUGGCUCAUGAUGCUGCAGGCUGAACAGGAAGCAUGGCAGCUUGUGCCUCUGGGAAGCCUCAGCGAGCUUCCAAUCAUGGCAGAAAGCAAAGGGGGAGCAGGCAUCUCACAAGGUGAGAGCAGGAGCAGGAGAGAGCAAGCGGGGAGGAAUUACACACCUUUAAACAACCAGAUCUCACGAGGACUCACAGCCCUGGGAACAGUACCAGGGAAUGUUGCUAAACCACUCAUGAGAAAUCCACCCCCAUGAUCCAGUCACCUCCCACCAGGCCCGACCACUGACAUCAGGGAUUACAGUUCAACAUGAGAUUUGGUGGCGGCGCAGAUCCAAAUCAUAUCACUGUACAUCUGCAUAUCUGUGCUUCCUCAAUUUGCAAAUCCUUUUGAAUUAUUUUCUUUGUAUUUCUACUGUUUUUGUUCAUUUGCAUUACCUGUUUUCUUGCCAUAAGAAGUAUGACGUACAGUUAUCAAAAUAUUACUUUAGAUUAUUAUUUUUUUAAGAUUUAAUAACAAGGUCUCCUGAUAGGUCUGAUCACUGGCAUCGCUCUGCAGCAGUGAUGAAUGUCAACAGUAUUUCUGGGUAUCUGCAACAACAGGAAUGUGACAUAAAACUAUUAAUAUCUGUGAUUUCUAUUGGUGGAAAAGUCACAGGCACUGCUGCUACUGCUGAGUUCACCCUGAGAGAGCAUGCUAAGUGGAACUUCGUCUCAAAAGAAAAAAAAGCUGUAGGGCAAAUUGGUUGGUUGGCUGGUUGGUUUCCUCCAGCCUAGCUCACAGGUGCGUGUGUCAUAUGGAGGCCUGCACUAAUGAGUAGAUGCCUUGGGUCCACCUCAGCCUUCUCCCUCCCCAACUUCAAGAGGAGCUCCACCUAGAUAUUUGAUAUCUUGGGGUUCCAUUCAGAUUUGAUGUUUUAAAACAGGAUCUACUGCCCCGGGGGAGAAGUUGAUAACUACUGAAAGACUAGAACAUUGCCAUUCUGCAAUUGAAUAACAGAAGCCUGAGAAGCUAAGGGCAUUCCCUCCAACUUCAAAGCCAAUUUAUAGACCCACAGGGCUUGCCUUGCCCUGGCCCAGAACUCUCUCCCUGUGCCAUGUUGGUCUUCUGGGAUCCUGCUCUUUGUAACCUGUCAUUUAAGGCCCUGCCCAGUCUCCCCCACCCUAUCCAGCCCUCCUCACAGACAUCACUGCCUAUCUUUUCCGUGAAUCAGGACCUGAGAGACCGGAAUCUACUCAGCAGAAAACACAGUGCUCAGUCUUCCUCCGCACUUCUGCCGCCCUUCCUAUGUGGAGGGGUCUCCCAGUCCCCCAAAACCCUGAAUUACACCAGUCCUUCCAUGCCCCACUGAAGCUGCUUUUUCAUCAUCUUCCCUUAUGACCCCAGUCCCUGGGAACUUCCCCCAUCUGAAUUCUUUCUGCACUUGCUGUGUGUGCCGCUUGUUAGUUUGCUGGGGUUGCUUUAACAAAAUGCCACAGACUGGGUGGAUGAAGCAGCAUGGGUUUGCUGUCUCACAGUUCUGGAGGCCGGAAGUCCAAGACCAAGGUGUCAGCAGAGUUGGCUCCUUCUGAGGCCCCUCUUGUUGGCCUGCAGAUGGCCGUCUUUUCCCUGUGUCCUCAAUUGGUCUUCCCUCUGCUCCUGUCUGUGUCCCGCUCUCCACUUAUAGGGACACCAGUCGUAUUGGGUGAGGGUCUGCCCUAAUGACCUCUUUUAACUUAGUCUCCUCUUUAAAGGCCCUGUCCCCAAGUAGAGUCACACUCAGGGGUUCUGGGAGUUAGGACUUCAACAUAUGAGUGUGUUAUUGGGAAGGGCAGGGGUGAAGUUCAGCCAGAACAGCCUCUCGCGUGGCGCAUAGUGGCUGCCUGCCUCAGGUCCUUCCUGCCCUGCCUGGUCCCGUGUUUCAGAAAGGAUUACGUAGUAUGUUACUUUGUGCCCAUGCAGUGCUUGCAAAAUGCUAGACACACGUGUCAUUUUUCAAUGAAAACCUAACUUGGUCUUGAGUCCCACACUUGGGAUUAACAAAGCCAGCGAAUCAGCAAUUCUUGAGAAAGAGUGAACAGAUGUCCUGCCCAGAGUGAGGUGGCUGAGGUCUAAUCAGGAAGAUGGGGACAGACAGUUGGAGGGCAGGGUGGUAAGAAGCACCAACUCCAGGAAAUAGAGGAAGCACUGUCAGAGUUCAGAGGAUUUUUAAUGGCAAAAGAGUAAGAGGGCAUAGAAAUCAUGGUUCUCACAGAGCAUAAACACUGGAGGAGCCAGGUGUGGGGGGCAGUUCUUAGGAGAAUCCUGUAAACACUGCUCCUUCCUCAAACCAGGACAGUUAGGCCCCAGUGAGACCACCUCUGUCUCCAGUCCGACCCUCUCUGAGGCUGGCCUUCGUAGAGGGUGAGUGAAUGCAGACCUGGAUCGCUUGGCAUCAGGGCAAAGUUUGAAUGAAAUUCUGAUGAAGGUAAAAGCCUCAGGCUACCCCGGGUGGGCAGACCUCAGCCGCCAGCUGGGAGCCAUGCGCUGCUCCUGGCCCUGCUGAUCCCAAGGUCUGCUCCGCUCACCCUCCCCUUGCCGUGUACAGAAGAGCAAAACCCUUUUCUCUCCCCUCAUUUCAAAACAUGGAAGAGUGGACCCCAUGGCCAGAUUUAUUUCAUGUUUGACAGCUUCAGUUGUUUCAAGAGUUCAAGUCUUAGAUUCACUGAUGUUUAAUUAAAGCCCUCAGUUGUUAUUUAUUAGCUGCACUGCCUUUUCUCCCUGUCCCCUCUCUCUUCACACAACACGCUCCAGGGUAAAUUCAUUUCAGCCAGUUUUUCACACCGUGCAUCUGCAGACAGCCGUCAGCCCUCACCACUUCCCCUGGCUCAGCUUGCUAUUGCUACCUGGGCAGCUUGAUGUAGAUGCCCAAGACACCUUCAGUUGCCCCAAACAAUUCCAUUUGCCCCUCCCUUUCAUACCUGCUUCUCACUCGCUCCAUGGUGUCCCUGAUGCCCCAUGACUGGAACUCAGGCACAGGUGCAGGGCUGAAGAACACUCCCAGCCUGCUUGCUGUGUUGCCCGUAGAAGCCAGGGCAUGUCCCGCAGUCAGGGCACCUUCUCCGGCCACCCUCCCCGGCACUGUGCUUCCCACCAGCCCCUCCAUCAGUGUGGACCCCCGUCCCUUCCUCUGCACCCUCCAGAGCACACCCGUCAUCCCACCAUGCUUCCAGACCCGAUGCCAGGGGCCUCCAGACCUCACUCAGCGCCCUCUGUGGCCCCUAAGCCCCAUGAAAGGCUUCUGUGGCCCCUCAUGGUUUUAUCUGUGUUGGCACUGUGGACAUGUUUAUCAGGAGGUCUCUCAAUGCGGUCGGGAAGCACAGCAAGGACAGGAGUAAACCUUCCUCUGCCAGGGCCCUUCUGUGGCUUGGGUCAGUUCACUGCCACUCCCUGAGCCUCAGCUCCUCAUCUCAGAGGUGGGCCUGUGAUACCCGUUUACAGGACUUUCCAGGGGAUUUGGUGUGAUAGAGGCUGUGAAGGCUUCCGUGUGGCCUGGUGGCCAAGAGCAGGCCCUCAGAAGGGCCCCAGCAUGCCUCUCCCUGAGGCUUUGGGGCUGGGUUGUUUUGGAGCUGAGGGAAGGGGAGGGGUUGUUUCCUGAGGAAGCGAUUUUUCCCUGAUUUGUUUCUGAAGGUGGAGGUGACGGAACCUCCCAGGCUGCCCUUCAUGUGGGCACUGCCCACUCAUGACAGAGCCUGGCCGUCAGCCUCGAGCAGCGCUAGCAGCACCUGGGGCCGGUAACACACAGAUCGCUGGGCUCCUAUGUUUGAGGAAGGCUUAUGUAGUAUAUAGAAAUGUGCAUUCUGACCAAUCUGCUCCUCUCCCCAUGAAAGAUUAUACUGCGUAAGGAAGGAAAACUGCAGUAGGACAGAGGGCAUCUUAGACCAAACUUGAGUUCUCCUUUCUUCAUGAAGAAUGCCUGUUACCUGCCCGGUUUUGCCCAGACAGUGCAUACCGCGAGGGCAUGUGGCCCCACAUGGAACUUCUUCUGUUUUAUCACAAAUGACAAGGCAGCUGAAAUGCUGGGGCCGAAUGCACAGCCUUGUUCUCGGACAGCAGUGGAGUGAGCCCAGGCUUCAGCUACACAGACUUGUCAUUCCAGUGGCCAAAUAGCACGUGACCCAGUAGUGGAGAAAAAGACAGAGGAUGGAGAAAUUGAUUCCCUGGACCAGGACCUCCUGCUCGAUCACUGUGGUUGCUCUUUAGCCUUUGAGGUGCAACUCUUUGCAAAAUGUAUAAGCCACCUUCACCUCUACAUAAAAUACGGAACACAAUUGAAACUCUGCCUUUAGUACAUGUCUCACGGCCCUCUGUAGCGUGGGCCACAGUGGUCGAUGCUAAUGGAUGCUCUGCCCAAAAGGCUUCCUUAUUCAAACGCAUUCAGGAAAUGGGUGAAAUGAAGUUAAUCUGCUUUCCUUAAGACAGCUCAGAGCCCCAGUACAUUAAGGGGCAUUUCAGUCUCUGAGAGGAGGAUACAGGAAGUAGUGUUUCCAGAAUUUAGUUGACCACAGGUUACUCAAAUUGCAUUGCAGGACAAAAGCCAGGCAGGAUGUAUUUUGGGCCACAGUUCUGAGGUUUGCGCAGGCAACGUGUGGGAAGACCGGAGCUUGCCAGAGAAUUUGAGGACCCAGGUGCUUGUCCUGGCUCCACUUCCUCCCGGUCCCGUGACCACAGGCACUGUCUGUCUCUAAGCUGCAUCCUCACCUGUGUGAAAAGGAGGUCAGUGUGGCUUGUGGGCUUUCAGCCCCGUACACUGCACAGGAAGGACAGAGGGACCACAGGCAGUGGGCUCUGAAAUUAGUGAAAGGCUGCACAAAGGUAACACAGUUGUUGGUUCCCAGUUCUAUUAACCCAGAAAAGGCCAAGAUACAAUUUGGAGGAAAUUCCCUGAUUGCAUUUGUUCUAUUCUGCUUUGCCAAGGGUUUCACUUAAUUGAAUGAAUCCAAUUUUACUCUAUAUAGAUAGAUGUAUAGAGCUCACCAUGGCAGCUCCAUGUAAUCCAGGAAUAAUCUUUUUACCUCCCGACAGUUUUACUGUCUUGUCUGUUUCUAAUCCAUUUCCCUUUCUUGGCAGCAGACUGGGCGGCAGCACAGAGACGCAUAGGAAGCUGUGAGCGGAAAGUGCCCUGUCGCCAGGGCAGGCAAAUACACAUUCCAGAGCCCUUGGAAAACUGCGGAGGGCUUCAUGUUUUCACACUGAAACUCAUGUGGCAAAAAGUGACCUGAUGUGAGGCUAUUUGUAGUCCCUAAAUCCUACUUAGUGUAAUAUCCAUACAUUUGGCUAUAGAAAACUUAAUGGGUUUGGAUAUGGGAUGCUGCCCAAGCCCCUACGGAGUUGUUCACCAUGUAUGAUUUUUAUAACAUGUUGCCUUUAUAAAACUUGAAGAAUCCUGAAUUCUGAAACCUGAAUAGCCUCAAGGGUUCCAGGCAGAGGAGGUAAGGGACUAUAAAGGAAACUCUGGGGUACAGAGGCACCUGUGGAGAUGAAGGUCACCAGGCUGGCCCGGUAUUUGACAGGCAGAACACCCUGUUCCCGGGUUCAGGCAAGAGGUUGCCCGACCCUCGUGAUGCUCCUCUCCACCACGGUGCAGUGCUGUGAAUUCUCCCCCUCCUUACUGCUGUUGCAUUCUUUGUGAAGCCAUAGAGACAAGCCAGUGUCUGGUCCCCAGCCAGGGUGGAGAGGCCGUGAAGGUACAUCCCCACAGACAGGCCCUGUGCUCUCCUCUACCCGGGGUCCCUGGGCAGCCAGCCAGAGAGAAGGCUCCCUGUGCCCUCCACACUCGGCUGCUGUGUAAAGAAGCAAUUGGCAUGCACCCCAGGACCCUAGCUGCCGCCAAAGCCAGCAGUAUUUUAUGAGCCUUAAAAAAUCUUGUUGUACCAGUCCGUUAUGAAUUAUUGAAUUAACACUGCAUAUUUAUAGCAGCCUCUUAAUAGUUCAAUAAUUUAUUCAUCCCUGUGGGUCCUUUGGUAUAUUUCUUUUAAUUGUUAGAGAAAAUAGUUUUUUUAGAGCUAGCUUCACUGGACUACUUCCUCAGGGAUGCUUCCAGAAUACUAAAAUAGAAUCCCGCACAGUUGUUCCUAAGCUUAAAGUACCUGAUGCGCAGCAAAUAGACCUGCCCACACGGGAGCCGGUGACACCCCCGGCCUGUGCUCAGGGCGGCGGCUGCUCUGGAGAAGCCCACAGCCAGCCAGGCCCAGCUCUCAGCCCUCUGGCCCAGCACACUAGCAUUUCAUAGCCUAUGCUUGGAUUACAUGUCUUCUGAGACAGUUGAGGGACCUAAGCAUCAUCCAUAUUGUUUCUACAGGGAAAAAAAUCUUUCUGUGUCCCAAUAAGUAAGCUCCCUAUUUUGGGAGCACCCCUGUUUUGUAAGGCGUGGCCUACUACCCACAGUGAGUCCUUCCUUACCGAGCCCUGAGGCUUGUUCCUGUUCCCAGGUGCUCGGAGAUAAGGGGCAAUCAACAGAAACAGGCCGUUUCCCAAUGCUCACUUGCAGAUGACUAAACCCAGAAGUGGUGGGGUAGCCUUAGGUAAGGAGACCAAAGCUGAGAACUUAAGACCUGGAUCCUUCAGCCACUUAAGACUCGAGCUGAGGACGCAGGGCAUGCCAGGCCAUCUGUGCUCAGGGUAAGGUUGCCCGUCUGUCUGCGCCAGGGCUCCUGAGAAAGCGCCUUGCAUGAUACUGUUCCCUUCUGCAUGAGUUUUUUUGGUCGUGAGUCGCAUCACACUUUAUAAAAAGACAUGUUUUCUUUGCAGGAUGAGCUGCCUUUGAUCCUCAGUCUUUCUCUGGUUUCGGCAAGAGUCCUGCAAAGCCAUUCAGCUGUUGUUGGCAGCUGCCAGGAGUUGCCGUAAAGAAGGCAGAAGAGGUUUUUUUCUGUUAAAUUGGUUAAUUCAGCUCUUGAAUGUGGUCUUUGAUAAGACACCCUAUCCCUCUUUUCCUUACCGCUUCUAGCUGUAUGUACUCAUCAUUUAAACUUCAAUUCAUGGUUCCAUCACCAUUCUCAAGUUUGACUUGAAAAAAUCUGAAGAAGUACCUAUUAACCUGAGCUCCCUCUAAAGAGGGAGAAAAGCUAAUCUUCCAGAUCAGUCUGGCAAAAGCUGGAGGAAGAGCCCGUUUGCUUGGCGACUCCAGAUAGCACCCCAUGGCAGACAGAUCCAGCUCAGCCAGACUGUUGGGUCACAAAAAAAAUAAAUCCACUAUCUCUAAUCACUCUUUUGCAAGCCUUUGAGGCUAGCAAGGCAUGAAAGUUACAUAAGAAAUGAGCAACAAACAGUUCCAACUAAGCACCCUGGUUAAUUCACUCCCUGGCAGGGUCGCUGAUCAGUGAUGUGAUUUGGUGCUCACAGUGUUUGUUGAGUGUGUGUGUGUACCAGACCGUAUGCCAGGCGCUGGGCACACAACAGAUUCCACCAUGGUCCUUGGCUUUGAAGGGGAGUCGUGCGUGCAGAAGCUUAAAGCCGUGUUGUGAUACAUGGGAAGUUCAAGUGGGAACACAGCUGG